rnacentral:tRNA from 2 species
GGGAGGGUUCCAGAGCGGUCAAAUGGAACAGACUGUAAAUCUGUCGGCUUCGCCUUCGAAGGUUCGAAUCCUUCCCCUCCCA